GUUACUUUGGCAGAUUUAAUGCAUUAAAUUUAGAUUUUAAUUAUGUAAUUAAAAUUACAUGUAAUU
rnacentral:tRNA from 1 species